AGGCCGGCGCGGUGACCAAGCAGGGGGACAGCAUUCUGUGCCGCUGAGCCUCGCUGUUCAGGUGUGCGGCCGCCUGCGCCCCAGCCAGCGGCUCUAGCAGGGAGGGGACGAGCCGAAGGUAGAGGCCCAGCCCGUGGAGGAAAGGAGAAACCCGCAGCAAACCCUAGGAUGUCCUUGUCAUUCGUUCGUCAUGCCCAGAGGGAGAGAGGAGAGAAAAGCCCCAACUUUCACACGCCCCCCCCUUUUUUUGCACGUUCUUAUACGCCUCUUCUUUUGAUAGCCGCUGUGAAUUGUACAUUCCUGUGUUGUUGUGGUUUUUGUUUUUGUUUUUGGAGGUGCAGUUAAACUUUUAAGCGCGACGGGGACUGAUAAACUUCGAAGACCAAGAGCAAAUGCGACUUUUAGAAGGCGACCUUUUGUGACCAAGGAGCUCAGUUUUUGUUUGGAAGCUUUACUAAUAAGCCAGCGCAUUGUAGAUAUUUUUUUCUUCUUCUGACAUCUAUUGUUUAAAAUAGAUGAUUAUAAUGGGGCAGGAAACUUUGUUUUUCCCUGCAAGAAUGUUACAUAUUGUAUAGCUAAACUGAGUGACAUUUCACGCCCUGUAUAUAUAGAGAGAUGUUCUAUAAGUGUGAGAGAAGUAUAUGCUUUAAUAGACUACUGUAAUUAUAAAAUAUUUUUAAUUAAAUAUUUUUUGUAAAUAAUAUAUGUGUGAUUUGGUUUUUAAUUUUACGGGAAGAUUUCUUUUGGAAAGGAUUGUUUGUUUCUUUCCCAGCUCCAUUGCAGAGUGCUGGAGGUCUUGACUGUCUUCUCUGUUGGCCUCGUUUCCGAUUUGUUCUUGUUUUACCAGUGCUGUAGAAUUGGAAGUAACAGCCCUAGCUAGUGGACCUGCAUGACUGUAUGAGAUGUUUAAUCACGAAAUAAACUUGUUCCGAGUCCUU